GGGCCCGUAGCUCAACGGUAGAGCAGGUGGCUCAUAACCACCGGGUUCUAGGUUCGAAUCCUAGCGGGCCCACCA
rnacentral:tRNA from 2 species